rnacentral:pre_miRNA from 1 species
AUGUAUGGCACCGUUGACUUUUUAUCCAACGUUUGACCAUUCGUUUUAUUCAAAAACUUUAUGUAAUUAUCAUUUAUUUUAUUGUGACUUGAUUAAUCAUCAAAUGUUCUUUAAGUAUGAUAUAAAUAUUUUCAUAUUUGCAUAAAAAUUUUGAAUAAAACGAAUGGUUGAACGUUGGUUAAGAAGUCAACGGCGUUAUAUAUU